GAUCAUGGCUCUGGAUGAACGCUAGCGGCAGGCUUAACACAUGCAAGUCGAGGGGCAGCAUAAUGGAUAGUCAAUAUCUAUGGUGGCGACCGGCGCACGGGUGCGUAACGCGUAUGCAACCUACCUUUAACAGGGGGAUAACACUGAGAAAUUGGUACUAAUACCCCAUAAUAUCAUAGAAGGCAUCUUUUAUGGUUGAAAAUUCCGAUGGUUAGAGAUGGGGCAUGCGUUGUA
rnacentral:rRNA from 1 species